AUGUCCGUCAACGACCUGAACGGAUCUAUCCCACCUUCCAUAGGCAAUUACAUGCCCCAUCUUGUCCAUUUGGACCUCGGUCACAACUCUCUCUCGGGCCUAAUCCCAUCAAGCAUUGGCGCUCUAGCCAAGCUCGAAAACUUGGAUCUGUCCGUCAAUGACCUGAACGUAUCUAUCCCAACAUCCCUAGACUUGCCCCAUCUUGUCAAUUUGGAGCUCGGUUAUAACUCUCUCUCGGGCCUAAUCCCAUCAAGCGUUGGCGCUCUGGCCAAGCUCGAAAACUUGGAUCUGUCCGGUAAUGACCUGACCGGAUCUGUCCCAACAUCCCUAGAUUUGCCCCAUCUUAUCUAUCUGAACCUUGGUAAUAACCUUCUCUCAGUCGGAAUACUAUCAAGCAUUUGUGCUCUCGCCAAGUUGGAAUACUUGGAUCUAUCAUUUAGUAUUCUUAAUGGAUCUAUCCCGCCAUCCAUGGAAUUGUCAUCCACCAUGGUGUUGACCGAGAAGUGCGACGUGUACAGCUUCGGUGUGGUUGCGCUGGAAGUUGUGAUGGGAAAGCACCCAGGUGAUCUACUCCUUCCGUUCUUCUGCCGAACAGAGCAGCUGGGGAAGUUCGACGAUAUCCUGGAUCGACGCAUCGCAGCGCCAUCAACCAUUCAUGAGGAGAAGGUAGUCAUUUUGGUUGCCUUGGUGGCCUUUGCUUGUCUGCAAGUCAAUCCCAAAUCACGGCCAACAAUGCAGCAGGUGUAUCAGGCACUGACAAAUAGAAACCGGCCAGCUUUCAUGCCCAGGCCCCUUCAUGAAAUCUGCCUGCAAAAUUUGCACGAUUACUAUGGCACCAUAAAGAAUAUAUGA
rnacentral:rRNA from 1 species